UCCAUUACAGGGAAUGAAGUUCUCCCUUGGAUUUUAUCCAAAACCGCUUUUCAAGCUGAUGACUUCUGCGAUUUU
rfam:Subdoligranulum sp. 4_3_54A2FAA genomic scaffold supercont1.9, whole genome shotgun sequence.